rnacentral:tRNA from 1 species
CGGGGCCGCGGUGCUGGCCGGGCUGGCCGCCGUCGAGGCGGUCGGGUCCGGCGAGAUCCGCGGCUUCGGGGUGUUCCGGGCGCUCGGCCCCGAC